rnacentral:rRNA from 1 species
GAUGAACGCUAGCUACAGGCUUAACACAUGCAAGUCGAGGGGUAACAAGAGAAAAGCUUGCUUUUCUUGUUGACGACCGGCGCACGGGUGAGUAACGCGUAUCCAACCUGCCUAUAACUAGGGAAUAACCUUGCGAAAGUAAGACUAAUACCCUAUGAUUUCCUUUGAUGACAUCAGAUUAGGAAUAAAGAUUUAUCGGUUAUAGAUGGGGAUGCGUCUGAUUAGCUUGUUGGCGGGGUAACGGCCCACCAAGGCAACCAUCAGUAGGGGUUCUGAGAGGGAGGGCCCCCACAUUGGAACUGAGACACGGUCCAAACUCCUACGGGAGGCAGCAGUGAGGAAUAUUGGUCAAUAGGCGGAAGCCUGAACCAGCCAAGUAGCGUGCAGGAUGACGGCCCUAUGUGUUGUAAACUGCUUUUAUACAGGAAUAAAGUUAGCCACGUGUGGUUAUUUGUAGGUACUGUAUGAAUAAGGACCGGCUAAUUCCGUGCCAGCAACCGCAGUAA